CGCCAUUUAAAGUGGUACGCGAGCUGGGUUUAGAACGUCGUGAGACAGUUCGGUCCCUAUCUGCCGUGGACGUUUGAGAUUUGAGAGGGGCUGCUCCUAGUACGAGAGGACCGGAGUGGACGAACCUCUGGUGUUCCGGUUGUCACGCCAGUGGCAUUGCCGGGUAGCUAUGUUCGGAAAAGAUAACCGCUGAAAGCAUCUAAGCGGGAAACUUGCCUCAAGAUGAGAUCUCACUGGGAACUUGAUUCCCCUGAAGGGCCGUCGAAGACUACGACGUUGAUAGGCUGGGUGUGUAAGCGUUGUGAGGCGUUGAGCUAACCAGUACUAAUUGCCCGUGAGGCUUGACCAU
rnacentral:rRNA from 1 species